UACGGGGGGGGCAAGCGUUGUUCGGAAUUACUGGGCGUAAAGGGCGCGUAGGCGGCCUGGGAAGUCUCGGGUGAAAGUUUUCGGCUUAACCGGAAAAGGGCCUGAGAAACCACUGGGCUGGAGUGCUGGAGAGGGAAGCGGAAUUCCCGGUGUAGCGGUGAAAUGCGUAGAGAUCGGGAGGAACACCUGCGGCGAAGGCGGCUUCCUAGACAGACACUGACGCUGAGGCGCGAAAGCCAGGGGAGCAAACGGG
rnacentral:rRNA from 1 species